rnacentral:rRNA from 1 species
UACGUAGGGGGCAAGCGUUGUCCGGAAUUAUUGGGCGUAAAGCGCGCGCAGGUGGUUCCUUAAGUCUGAUGUGAAAGCCCCCGGCUCAACCGGGGAGGGUCAUUGGAAACUGGGGAACUUGAGUGCAGAAGAGGAUAGUGGAAUUCCACGUGUAGCGGUGAAAUGCGUAGAGAUGUGGAGGAACACCAGUGGCGAAGGCGACUUUCUGGUCUGCAACUGACACUGAGGCGCGAAAGCGUGGGGAGCGAACAGG